GGUGAAGAAAUGCCACAAUAUCCUAAUCCCUUUGAACAAGGUGAUCUUUACAUAAAGUUUGAUGUGAAGUGUCCUGAAAACAACUGGAACAACCCAGACAAACGUUCUCAACUAGAAGAUCCGCUGCCAUCUAGAUCAGAAGUUUCAAACACAAUUGGAGAAAAAGUGGCGGUAGAGCUUCAGGAAUGUGAUAACACUUGAGGCUGAGGAGGUGGUCAGAGGCAUGAAGCCUAAAUCAUAGCUCUGAUGAAGAAAACAGCAGCCCUCAUGUUCCUGGAGGUGUGUGC
rnacentral:lncRNA from 1 species